UGGCGACCGGCGCACGGGUGAGUAACGCGUAUGCAACCCAUUUAUCAGAGGGGAAUAACCCGGCGAAAGUCGGACUAAUACCGCAUAAAACAGGGACACCGCAUGGUGAUAUUUGUUAAAGAAAUUCGCUGAUAGAUGGGCAUGCGUUCCAUUAGGUAGUUGGUGAGGUAACGGCUCACCAAGCCGACGAUGGAUAGGGGAACUGAGAGGUUGGUCCCCCACACUGGUACUGAGACACGGACCAGACUCCUACGGGAGGCAGCAGUGAGGAAUAUUGGUCAAUGGGCGAGAGCCUGAACCAGCCAAGUCGCGUGAAGGAAGAAGGAUCUAUGGUUCGUAAACUUCUUUUGCAGGGGAAUAAAGUGCAGGACGUGUCCUGUUUUGUAUGUACCCUGAGAAUAAGGAUCGGCUAACUCCGUGCCAGCAGCCGCGGUAAUACGGAGGAUCCGAGCGUUAUCCGGAUUUAUUGGGUUUAAAGGGUGCGUAGGUGGUUUGAUAAGUCAGCGGUGAAAGUUUGCAGCUUAACUGUAAAAAUGCCGUUGAAACUGUCGGACUUGAGUGUAAAUGAGGUAGGCGGAAUGCGUGGUGUAGCGGUGAAAUGCUUAGAUAUCACGAAGAACUCCGAUUG
rnacentral:rRNA from 1 species